AUGUCUCCCUUGGACUCCAGCCCCAUCCAGACUGACGUCCCUCUCAAGCAUAUUUUUCUACCUCUCCCUAUGACCCAUGAGGCUUUGAACAGAUCCAAUCUUGUCCUGUGUGUCCUCUUAGCAAAUGUAAACUUCCUCCUGAAAGUGCAUCAUUUUGAUGAAAACUGUCAUUGGUCAGUCUGCUUCAGGAAGGAGAAGUUGCUGCCCAAGAGGUUUGUGCAUGAGCAAUGGUGUGCCUGGAAAUCUGUUGCAGACUCAUUUGAUCCUCUGGUCAGGGUAUCACCACCCUCCACUCCACUGAUCUCGAUGAGCUCCAGCUAUGAAGAAACUGGGAUCCCUGCUUCUGCUCUGCAGAUUCUGUUCUGAGUUUUCAAGGAGUCACUGCCUCCUUUGCAGACAGCAGGGAUUUCCAAAGGCAGCGGUAGCAGUAGGACGGAUGCUUGGUAUUCCAUGAUGCUGUCAGAGAAAACCAGUGUCUGCAAAGACCUGCAGAGGUGGCCUGGUCUAUUCCCUCGCAGGAUCAGUUUUACUUAGAGCAGACUUUACCUGAGGCUUCUUCAUAAAGAAACUUCAAAGGCAUUGAGGGGAAAGAAGAUGAUACAAAACCCUGUGCCUGGAGAUUACACUGGUAACUGAUUAUUACUAAAUUGAUGGUAGAGGAAACUGAUUUGGCGAUGGGCUUGACAUUGAAAUACGCAAAGCUUUUGUAACUGGGACAUGCUGCUCCAUCUCAAAUCAGCUCUGACUGAAAAUCAUUACCUACAAAUGCCACUGGGCUGGGACAUGACAUCUUCGCUACUUGGAAAGCAGUGAGAACGUCCUGGGCACCACUGGAAAGUAAUAAGCAAUGGCUCCCGGGUGACCACUGUCAAAUAAGCUGGUUUCACUCUGACAACUGAGGCCAAAUUUUGCAAGCUAUUAAACACAGGCAGUCCUACUGAACUCAGUGGGUUUCACUUACAUAGGACAGAGAUAUCUACAGUCACAGUCCUAUAAGUAAAAGUCCAGUCCCAAGAGAGCAGAACGAUGGGACCGCUCCAGUGCGUCAGGUGAUGCCCCUCUGAACCACAUCACAAACAUUUGCCCUGGAACUGCCCGAUAGACACAUACAUCCCACAGGCAAGACAAAGGCAUCCAGGUCAGGCUGAUGUUCACGACACUUGGGUUAGGCCUUCGUGGCUGGUCCCCCAGCCUUGCUGGACUAUGGGCGACAGCGCUAAAGGAAGUAACAUGCUGAAGACAACAGCAUACAGACUCUGCCUCGUCUUCCAUUUCAAAUAUUAAUUCCCAUUGGCUGCCAACAACCAAGGUCUUAGCUAAAAAACAAACAGACAUUUGUUUGCUUAUAUGUUAUUACCUCAUAUGUACUAACUGCCCACAACUCAUUGGACUAGAAAACAAAUGCAACGAGGAGACUGCAGCCCAAACAUGCAAGGGCAUGAGCGAACUUGCAGCGUUCUGACAAGAGUUUAAUGCAGGUGAAAAGCUGCCAUGUAAGUCUUGCUGACCCGGCUUAUUGCAGGACUAUGAACGUUUUGGUAGCUGUACUUUCUUACUAAGAGGAAGAAGAUUAGUUUUGGAGAUUAAUGAUUUUGAAGAAAAGCACAGUUGCUGUUUCCAGCCUGCUACUGCCAGUACCCAGGGAGCACUCUGCAAGAGACUACUGUUUGUAUGUUUUAUUUCAAUAACCUGUUUCAACCAUGCAGCAAUAAACUCCUCAGACAGGUAACCUUGAGGGCCA
rnacentral:lncRNA from 1 species